rnacentral:rRNA from 1 species
UACGGAGGGUGCGAGCGUUGUCCGGAAUCACUGGGCGUAAAGGGCGCGUAGGCGGCCUGAUAAGUAGGGGGUGAAAUCCUGCGGCUUAACCGCAGGGCUGCCUUCUAAACUGUCAGGCUAGAGCACAGUAGAGGCAGGUGGAAUUCCCGGUGUAGCGGUGGAAUGCGUAGAGAUCGGGAAGAACAUCAGUGGCGAAGGCGGCCUGCUGGGCUGUUGCUGACACUGAGGCGCGACAGCGUGGGGAGCAAACAGG